AAAGUUAUGGAAAUCCAGUAGUGUAAACUGGUGACUAUCUUUGUUGGUGCGUGUGUUCAUCAAGAAGUCUCAUCUUGAUCUCGUAAGGGUUUGGCGAGUAACUCUAGGGAUAAGGUGGCAUUGGAAAUCCAGUAGUGUAAACUGGCGACUAUCUUUGUUGGUGCGUGUGUUCAUCAAGAAGUCUCAUCUUGAUCUCGUAAGGGUUUGGCGAGUAACUCUAGGGAUAAGGUGGCAUUGUAAUAGAAGCGAGUGAGUUGGAUAGAUAGGCCAUGUGUGAGCUGAAAAAUCUGUAAAACAUACUCAAGUCGAUUCUAUUGGAAAGGCUGAAAUCUUGUUUAGAUUUCAGGACUGGAUGUAGGCUAUCAAACAGAUAGCCGAACGAGUAUAAAUCCUGGUGCACGAUUUUCUUAUCUUUUCUCUUUAUUUUGAUAUUGCUUGAAUGUUUAUUCUUGAAUGUUUGUAUUGG
rnacentral:lncRNA from 1 species